UACGAAGGGGGCUAGCGUUGUUCGGAGUUACUGGGCGUAAAGGGCGCGUAGGCGGCGCACCAAGUCAGGCGUGAAAGCCCUGGGCUCAACCCGGGAAUUGCGCUUGAGACUGGUGUGCUUGAGUACGGGAGAGGAUAGUGGAAUUCCCGGUGUAGUGGUGGAAUGCGUAGAUAUCGGGAGGAACACCAGUGGCGAAGGCGACUACCUGGCCUGUUCUUGACGCUGAGGCGCGAAAGCUAGGGGAGCAAACGGG
rnacentral:rRNA from 1 species